GAGGAGCCAGGGAAGGGAAAGAAAGAAACAUUCUGCCUGCUUCCUUGUUUCCUCGUUCUCUUCCUGCCCUCCCACAACCCUGUGGACACCACUUCUGAGUGGCCUCCCUCCUGUUCACAGGCACCUCUGAGAUUUCCUGGCUGACACAUCACGUCUCCUCCGGCCACAGUCAAGCAACUCCUGAUGUCUACAGCAGCAGUAACACUUUGGAUUCCUGAGGGAAAACCCCAAGAUGAGCCUCUGUGAAAUGCCUGCUUCAUUGUGGCUUCAUUUUCAUGCUUUGUUAUCUGACCCACUGACUUCUUACCUUGUGAUGCUCCAUAAAACCCUGUGGGAUGGGGAAGGAUAAAAAUGACAUACACCAGCUGGGCACAGUGGCUCAAGCCUGUAAUCCUGGCACUUUGGGAAGCUGAGUGGGUGGAUUGCCUGAAGUCAGGAGUUUGAGACCAGCCUGACCAACAUGGCAAAAACCCAUCUCUACUAAAAAUACAAAAAUUAGCCUGGCGUGGUGAUGGAUGCCUGUAAUUCCAGCUACUCAGGAGGCUGAGGCAGGAGAAUCGCUUGAACUCAGGGGGCAGAUGUUGCAGGGAGCUGAGAUCACGCCACUAUACUCCAGCCUGGGCGCAAGAGCGAAACUUGGGGAAAAAAAGUGACACACACCUCACACGGCAUGGCUGCUUAAGGGGCCACGAGGCUCUCACUGCAAGCUUUUCCCCAUUUCUCACGGCUACCCUCAGAGGAUAGAAUUACCACAAUUUUAAGGCUAAAGAAACAGGCUUGGAGAGGCCAGAGGCUUGCCCAGUACCACACAAACAGAGGUGCCUUUGUGUUUCUGGGUCAAUGCUAUUUUUACACACUGGACUUCAUGGGGGUCAGGAGCAGUGGGACCACCUCCUGCUCUCUCCAAACUCAUACCUGCUCAUGGUGUCGCUCUUCCUUCUCUCCCAGACAGAGCAACGCAUGCUUACCACCUUGAUGGUGCAAGUCUCACUAGAUCUGAAUUUGAGCCCAUCAGUGAUUGACUUGAGACCCAGCAGAACAAGAAAGACUUAAACCCAGUAGUUUUAUGUUCUUUCUCUGGAUCUUCCCCUAAAUUCUACAAAGUAAGUGGCAGUGACCUAUUUUACAGAUGAAGAAACUAAGGCCCAGAGAGGCAAUAUUAUAUCUAGCCUUGCUUGUCUGUGACUUAUUUGACAUCUUCCUUUGGAGACCCUGAGAGCCGGGCAAAGGUUCUCUAGGACACACAUGCAGGAAGGUCAGAGGUGGGAGUGGGGUGCUGCUUCUGCCCCACCCCCUGCAGAAGAACAGGACUCAGCAGGGACAGAAGGAGCAGACUUGUGAGAGGACUAAUUAUGCAUCCUCUUUCCUGCCCUCCCUGUGGCAUCUUUCCUGUCCCCUGGGAAACACUCUAAGAUGGACAUAGUUGGGCAGGGAGUUUAUCAUGUGCCCCGGAGUCAGGACACCCAAAGAGAGGAAGGGAGUGGCAUUGGGAGAAGCUGGGCUUUGAUAUAGUCCCAAGCCCUUUGACAUCUCUGGAGCUGGGUUGAACGCUGAGAGCUGCCCUGAUGUGGGAAGUAGAAAAGUUCCUCUUCAAAGUUUCCUUUCUUGUUUAAGAAAAAUUCAUAAGAAUUAGAAAUAAGAGUUUGUUUUAAACACUUUCUUCAAAAGCCUUCUUGCCUUUUUGCUAGAAGCACUAUACUGUGUAGCUGUUUGACAUCAGGCACAUAGUGUAUUCUUUGUCCUUGUACUUUAA
ensembl:lncRNA